UAAGGCAGAGGUGCGGCUGAGAAGAGUAACUGUUUGCGGGAUAACCGAUCCAAUGGCAGACAAGUGAAAGGCAAAGCCGCCGAAGAGCGGUUUUUGGUAAAUUCCCCUCUGGUUUCAGGCUCAACAGGUCUGUGACUGUCAUCAUGCUAUGGUGGAGAGCUGUCGG
rnacentral:ncRNA from 1 species